GAUCAUGGCUCAGGAUGAACGCUGGCGGCGUGGCUUAACACAUGCAAGUCGAACGAAGAUGCCGGAGUGCUUGCACUUUGGCAGACUGAGUGGCGGACGGGUGAGUAACGCGUGGGUAACCUGCCUUAUACAGGGGAUAACAGUUGGAAACGACUGCUAAUACCGCAUAAGCGCACGGUAUCGCAUGAUACAGUGUGAAAAACUCCGGUGGUAUAAGAUGGACCCGCGUCUGAUUAGCUUGUUGGUGAGGUAACGGCCCACCAAGGCGACGAUCAGUAGCCGGCCUGAGAGGGUGAACGGCCACAUUGGGACUGAGACACGGCCCAAACUCCUACGGGAGGCAGCAGUGGGGAAUAUUGCACAAUGGGGGAAACCCUGAUGCAGCGACGCCGCGUGAGUGAUGAAGUAUUUCGGUAUGUAAAACUCUAUCAGCAGGGAAGAUAAUGACGGUACCUGACUAAGAAGCACCGGCUAAAUACGUG
rnacentral:rRNA from 1 species